AGAGUUUGAUCCUGGCUCAGGAUGAACGCUGACAGAAUGCUUAACACAUGCAAGUCAACUUGAAUUGGGUUUUUAACUUAGAUUUGGGUGGCGGACGGGUGAGUAACGCGUAAAGAACUUGCCUCACAGCUAGGGACAACAUUUAGAAAUGAAUGCUAAUACCUGAUAUUAUGAUUUUAAGGCAUCUUAGAAUUAUGAAAGCUAUAAGCACUGUGAGAGAGCUUUGCGUCCCAUUAGCUAGUUGGAGAGGUAACAGCUCACCAAGGCGAUGAUGGGUAGCCGGCCUGAGAGGGUGAACGGCCACAAGGGGACUGAGACACGGCCCUUACUCCUACGGGAGGCAGCAGUGGGGAAUAUUGGACAAUGGACCGAGAGUCUGAUCCAGCAAUUCUGUGUGCACGAUGAAGUUUUUCGGAAUGUAAAGUGCUUUCAGUUGGGAAGAAAUAAAUGACGGUACCAACAGAAGAAGUGACGGCUAAAUACGUG
rnacentral:rRNA from 1 species